CUAAAAAUCCAUCUUGGUCUUCUGUGUAAGGUACAGUAGGCUCGGUUCAGGGCGGCUAGUUAAAACAGUAAUGAAAAAGUAAUUUGAUUAUUUUUACUUAUUUGAUAAGCAUGUUGCUAGUUAGCGUUUAUCAGCUACCGGCCGUCGUUUUUAAUUUAACAUUUCAGAGUAAAUGAAGAUGAAUUAGCGAUUAUCUCAUUUGAUUUUUGUUUUUACAGAACAUUUGAAGAACUAGCUUGAUUAGGAGAAUGACAAAAAAAAGAAAUCGUACCACAACAAGUGUCACAUCAAACCAGCCUAGGUCACUCAGGCCGCGAAAGAGAACAUGCUAUGGUGAUGCGUUAGGAAAGAGUACCCCCUCUGGAGAAGCAAUGGAAGCAAAGCCCUUAAAGCUACAAAAGAAGGACACUGUAGGAACAGUGCUGACAACUGCCUCACCUGAAAAUCCACACACCCCUCCCCUGGACUGUACCAGUGGUCCACUUCAGCAGACUCUCUCAGCGGGUGAUACCACUGUAUCGAAGCAAGAGGGCGGGGAGGGUGCUCAUAGGUUGAUGGAGUCCUCCGUUAAAGGUGACAAGGUUGUGUUAGAAAAGGUAUCGACGCUGAGGUUCCUCAGUCCCGCCCUGGACCCACCACCAACUGUAGCCAACCCUCACCCCUACACCCCGCCCUCCCUAACGUCUCAGGGGGUCAAAGCCGGGCAUCCCCGGCCCUCCCUGCCGACCUCCGAAGGGGUCAAAUUUGGGGAAUGGGAUGGUCAAACGACCAGUGCAGAAGAUCACUGUGGAGAGAAGAACACGGAGCCUAAAAUGGAGGAGAGACACUGCGAACAGCCGGAGGCCGCGGAUGAGAGAGACGGGAGACAGAAUCCACCAGUGAAAGACAGAUCCAGGGAACCACAGACGAAGAGGAGGAAGAGGAUGGGGAUGUGUGGGCUAGGAGAGAGGGAGAGGAGAUGUGGAGUGGAGGAGGAGUGGCUGCAGGAAAGAAAGACUUUGAAAGAAAAUGGGAUGGUAAUGAGGAGAGCAGAAGAGGAGGAGAUGGAGGAGGACGAGGGGCAAAGUGGCGACGGCAGUGGGGCCGGCCUUGUGGCCGUGGAGGGAACUGCAUCGAGAGCCGCGUCAUCCUCUGACCUCGCCCUCCUUUCAUCCCUCCCUCCCUCCGACCCCACAGGGGUUAACACUGAGCAGAAGGAGGGUGAGGAGGAGAAGGAGGAAGAGGAGCCCCGGCGGUCUGGCGACGAGGCCGGUCGUUUAAGCCCCGGCCGUGUGUCUGUUUCUGGGCCAGACCCGGUCGCGGAGGUCCUGGAGGUGGGACCACAGCAGCCUGUGAUGCUGGGUGACGAGGAGCUCGGCAUGAUGGGGGUUGUGGAGGACAACCAGGAGGGAGACAGGAGGGGAUAUAGUGCUACUGAUCCUCCGUCCUUCUCCAGCGGCCCUCCACCCACCCCUCUGGAGGAAGAGUCCGCGGUAGAAGUCUGGAACCUACCUAACCGGAGAGAGACGGGGUCAGAGGUCGGGGUUCAUUCCCUGGCUCGGUCAGAGGUCGGGGUUCAUUCCCCGGCUCCCAUUCUGCCUGAGGGCCGUGUCCAUAGAGCUGACAGCACCCAGGCAGAGUCAGAACACAAGGACUCCUCAGACCAACCUCUGCCCACAAAGCCGGAUCCUGGAGCGGCCCUGGGUAACCCCAGGGGGCCUGGUGACGCUGCACUGACCCCUGGUGGCCAGGAGGAGUAUAUCCAAUCAGUCCCGGUGGUUCUGUCCAGAGUGGACCAUGAAGAUGCUGUCCAUCCGCAUGGGGAAGAGGCCCGGGACUACAUAUCUGACUCUCAGCUCAACACCAUUACUCUGCUGUGAGCCGGGGGGGGGGGGUUGUCACGUAAUAUGUAUCCCACCAAUAGAUCCCUUUUAAAAUGUAAAAACGAGUAGGGCCGAUACUUACUGGUAAUGUAUCAGAAAAACAAGGGCUUAUUUGCUUGACAAAAAAAAAGAGAACGCAACGCUAGAUUGACUGAUCUUAGUUAGCAUAUUCAUUUCCAUGGCGUUUCACUUUACACUGGUCGGUUGGACACAUACCACGUCAAUCAAGGCCAAACUGGGGACAUGGAAGGAAGAUGGAGAAAAGGGGGAGGGCUGAAAGGGGUAAAGGGGUGGUUCAUGGGAGGUGACAAAAGAUGAAGGGAUCCGUCUUUCCUGUCCGUCCCUCCUCUCCCAGUUGUGUUUUCCCGCUGUUCCGAAAUAACACCUACUCAGUUGUGUCCAGAAUGACACCCUAUUCCCUUUGGCUGUGGGGCCCACUAGGGCACUCUUAAGGGGUUAGGGUGUCGUUUAGUGAGCUCCCCCCGGAUUGGCCGGCCAGACGACAGUGAUGUGGUAUUCUAGGAGAUGGAGAGAAGGGGUCUCGCUGUUCCUGUCAAGAACCAUCCACCUGACGCUCGUUACUUUAAGGCCUGUUCAUGCUGACCCAGGUCUGCCGAGUGGCAGAUUUCAUUGUCAUCUCUCUCGCCUGUCUUCAACAUCGUUUUUCCAGUAGGCUGGUAUGCUCACCUUUCAGUAGGACUAGGAUAUACUUUCAGGAACGGGGUGCUAUUGUUUAUCUCUAUCUUCCUCCUGACUAGUGAGGAUGAGGAUGGACACGAAGAGGGAGAGCAUGAAGACGCCUCAGAACUGGUCUGUGGCCUGAUCAGAGAACUCUCCUCUCUAAACCGGCUCGUGAUGGCUACGGAUCGGGAGCUGGAGACUUUUCGCCGUGGAAAGAAGACCGCAAGGACCCCGACACAUCGUGUGUUCCCCCCACGACGGACUGAGAUCUAGGAUGCCCCAUUUUAGACGUGGCUUUAAUCGUCACAACGUCCCCGAAGGCUAACAAAGCCCGCACACAGUGGAAGUUAAUUUGAGACUUAUAGAUGAAAAUCAGUUUAUUAAAAACAGCGAUCCUUAUUGUCAACACAUUGAAACGCAACUUUCAUUUCUGUUAAGGGAUAUGGACGUAACCUUGUAAUUAUGCCAGUUUUACCGAUGCAUUUCUGUUGCCGUUUUAUUCCCUUGUUCCCCUAAUGCCGAGGACUUGUUAUAGUGACAUGUGAACUUUCUAAUAAAUCAAGCUUUCCCG
ensembl:lncRNA